rnacentral:rRNA from 1 species
UGCGUAGGUGGUUUGUUAAGUCAGAUGUGAAAGCCCCGGGCUCAACCUGGGAAUUGCAUUUGAUACUGGCAGACUAGAGUGCGGUAGAGGAGAGUGGAAUUCCCGGUGUAGCAGUGAAAUGCGUAGAGAUCGGGAGGAACAUCAGUUGCGAAGGCGACUCUCUGGACCAGCACUGACACUGAGGCACGAAAGCGUGGGGAGCGAACAGGAUUAGAUACCCUGGUAGUCC